GGUCUGUUGAAUUAUUUUUGCAUGGUCUAGAAAUCCUGAGUACAGCUAGCAGUUUUUAAUUGUACAUUGGUUUGCAUAUCUUUCCUCCCGAUGAAAGGAUUUGGCAAUAAUAAAAAUUGAUUGCACUGGUUGGCUAUCCCAAAAGUGGCUGGAAUAAGGUGGGAAAAAUAAAUUCCCUGGUUUGGUGAGGGGGUGUCUAUAUCAGAGGUAGGCAACCUUUGGCAUUCAAGAUAUUAUGGACUACAUCUCCCUUGAUGCUUUGCCCCUGUGCUGGACCCCUGAAGGGUGCCUACCCUUGGACUGGAUGUUAUUCUCCCAGUAAUAGGUAGAAUAUGGUCCAUGGUUUCUCCUUUAAUUUUUGCUGAUGUCUGCACGGCUGUAUCUUAUUGUGGUUUUAGGUGUUGUUGAGGUUCCUUAUUGAACCUAGACACCAGUUGGAAAGCUCUGAACCUGCUGCUGACGCAAGAGCUUACAGUGACCUGUUUUUUCUGCCGGAUACGGACAGGUACAUUCAGUAAGGAUUGCUACCUAAAUCCAUUAUUCAUUUCUUGGUUCCCCGAGAUAGAAAUUAAGAUUGUCUGUUUAGGCAGGAUGACAAACACUGUGAUUUACCGUUCACCAAAUUGCACAAAUCAAUUGCUGGUUGGUUUAAUUUCACAGGUUGUUACGAAGUAC